rnacentral:rRNA from 1 species
UAGUCCAUGCCGUAAACGAUGAUUACUCGAUGUUGCGUAAGCAGUGUCUAAGCGAAAGUUUUAAGUAAUCCACCUGGGGAGUACGAUCGCAAGAUUGAAACUCAAAGGAAUUGACGGGGGCCCGCACAAGCGGUGGAGCAUGUGGUUUAAUUCGAUGAUACGCGAGGAACCUUACCUAGGCUUAAAUGAAGUUUGACCGUCUAUGAAAAUAGAUUUUCCUUCGGGCAAUUUGCAAGGUGCUGCAUGGUUGUCGUCAGCUCGUGCCGUGAGGUGUCAGGUUAAGUCCUAUAACGAGCGCAACCCCUGCCGUUAGUUGCCAGCAUGUAAAGAUGGGGACUCUAACGGGACUGCCGGUGCAAACCGUGAGGAAGGUGGGGAUGACGUCAAAUCAUCACGGCCCUUACGUCCUGGGCCACACACGUGCUACAAUGGCCGGUACAGAGAGCAGCCAUGUCGUAAGGCAGCGCGAAUCUACAAAGCCGGUCACAGUUCGGAUCGGGGUCUGCAACUCCG